rnacentral:lncRNA from 1 species
GAACAUCGAAAAAGGAACGUGAAGGAGUAUAGCAAAUUUCUGCUACAACCAUUCUCCAUAUAACACCUGAAUUUCAGCUACAACCAUUCUCCAUAUAACACCUGAACCAAUUUACAACAUGUAUGGAUCUGAAACACCUGAACAUCAACAACACCUGAACAUCAACAACACCUGAACAUCAACAAUUUCCACAUAUCAAAUUAGAACACUGUGCUACAACAAUAUGUAUGCAUCGAGUUACACUCUGCUACAACAAUAUGUACGCAUCGGGGGCUGUGCGAGCCUUCGAGCCGCUCGACGUUCC